AUACAUAAAAAUAAAAAACGCUUAUUCCUUGUAGCGUUUAUCUCCGAAAUUGUAGGGACGAAUCCGUCGUGAAUAGCAUUUUCUCUUGAAUCAGAUCAGUCAGAAUUGAGGCAGAGAGAGAAAGGGGAUGGCGAUACUUUACGCGCUGGUGGCGCGUGGCUCGGUUGUGCUGGCGGAAUUCAGCGCUACUUCCACCACGGCGAACGCGAUCGCGCGUCAAAUUCUCGAGAAAAUCCCCGGUAACAACGAUAACAACGCCUCCUACUCGCAGGAUCGCUACAUUUUUCACGUCAAGCGCACCGAUGGCCUCACCGUCCUUUGUAUGGCCGACGACACUGCCGGAAGGAGAAUUCCUUUUGCAUUUCUGGAAGAAAUUCAUCAGAGAUUUGUGCGAACCUAUGGUCGAGCUGUAUUGUCUGCACAGCCAUAUGCAAUGAAUGAUGAUUUUUCAAGGGUCCUCAGCCAACAAAUCGAGUAUUUCUCAAGUGAUCCUAAUGCUGACAGGAUAAACCGGCUCAAAGGUGAAAUGAGCCAGGUUCGGAAUGUCAUGAUUGAGAACAUUGAUAAAGUUUUGGAUAGAGGUGACCGGCUAGAAUUAUUGGUUGAUAAAACUGCCACUAUGCAAGGGAACACUUUUCGCUUCAGAAAGCAAGCUCGCCGUUUUAGAAACACUGUAUGGUGGAGAAAUGUCAAGCUUACGAUUGCAUUGAUAUUCCUUCUCCUGGUAAUAAUCUAUGUCGUUUUGGCUUUUGUUUGCCACGGACCCACUCUUCCGUCUUGCUUGUAAUGAGAUCUGCUCGUGACAUCUGGAUGCUAUUUCUCUUUCUUCUGUUAAGUGUACGCUCAGUUCUUUCACUUCAUAUCUCCCUGAGAUGUCUGAAGAAGUUGUUGGUUUUAUACUUUCAUUCUUGGUUUGAGAUUUAGUCGUGUGUAAAGCUGUCUCUGUAGGGCACCAGCUCUAUCUAGAUAUUGCACAAGAGCAUGCCAGAACUUCCCUCUCCAUCUGCUCUGGAAGACAGUCCUGGUACUACCCUGAGGUAAUUGCUGUAACUUCACGCCCUAACCCUCGAAUGAUAUUUUCAUUGCUGCUUUCACUUCAACGAUAAAAUGCCAGCUGGCUCGACUAUGAAACUGAAUCUAUGUGCCUUACUGUUGGAUCAUUGGCCACUCAUAGUGGUAUCAGAUAUCCUUCCUAGAGGUAGAAUAGAUUUUAGACCCCACAAAAACGAGUGAAAUAGGUGCAUUUCUAUACCCUAGCUUUUGGAUUCUUUCCAUUUGAUUGUUACUCUAAUCUUGAUAGAUAUAGUUUACACUAGAAAUAAAAAACAGUCACAUGUUGCUGAAUCAUUGGUCCAGAUUUGCCUUUAGCAUGUGUUUUCCAGAUUGAGGGGCCCUUCAUGUCUUAACCAAAACAUAACAUCCCAUGCUUAAUAGUAUUGUACAU